AGUGAACGCUGGCGGUAGGCCUAACACAUGCAAGUCGAACGGCAGCACAGUAAGAGCUUGCUCUUACGGGUGGCGAGUGGCGGACGGGUGAGGAAUACAUCGGAAUCUACUUUUUCGUGGGGGAUAACGUAGGGAAACUUACGCUAAUAACGCAUACGACCUACGGGUGAAAGCAGGGGAUCUUCGGACCUUGCGCGAUUGAAUGAGCCGAUGUCGGAUUAGCUAGUUGGCGGGGUAAAGGCCCACCAAGGCGACGAUCCGUAGCUGGUCUGAGAGGAUGAGAAGCCAAACUGGAACUGAGACACGGUCCAGACUCCUACGGGUGGCAGCAGUGGGGAAUAUUGGACAAUGGGCGCAAGCCUGAUCCAGCCAUACCGCGUGGGUGAAGAAGGCCUUCGGGUUGUAAAGCUCUUUUGUUGGGAAAGAAAAGCAGCACGUUAAUACCCCGCUGUUCUGACGGUACCCAAAGAAUAAGCACCGGCUAACUUCGUG
rnacentral:rRNA from 1 species